GACGUAGGGGGCGAGCGUUGUCCGGAAUCACUGGGCGUAAAGAGCUCGUAGGCGGGGUUGCACGUCUUGGAGUAAAUCCAUCUGCUUAACGGAUGGGUCGUCUGAGAUACGGCAGCUCUUGAGGACAGAAGAGGAAAGCAGAAUUCCGGGUGUAGCGGUGAAAUGCGUAGAUAUCCGGAGGAAUACCGGUGGCGAAGGCGGCUUUCUGGUCUGAUUCUGACGCUGAGGAGCGAAAGCCAGGGGAGCGAACGGG
rnacentral:rRNA from 1 species